CGCAUCUGGGGACCGCAUACUAGGCCGUCGGGAGGCUCCCGAACGGGAACGGGCUGAGGCCUGAGCGUUGAGCGGUUUUCUCUUUGGCACGAGCGCGUGUGAAAAAGGCGCGGAGUUGGGGGGAGGGCGGCCGCCACGACUGCCUCCCGGACGGGGUGCGGUAAGGCCUUGGAGAUGCGUUCAGGUUUAGGGGUGACUUUUUAAAAAAUUUUUUGCUGAGAAAGCUGUGAAGUGAAAGAUCCAGAAGGAGAGUGAGUACAUUAUACGGUCUUGAUAGAUUGCCACCGAUAAAAGACAGGAAGUCAAGCCAAGCCAAGUGGGGAGCAGAGGAAGGCUGGGAAUUUGUGAGGAAAGUCAGUAUGAGUUAAAACGCAAGGCUGUUGGAUCCUGGCUGCCAUAUCUAGAUUGUAAGUUCCCUGAGGGCAGAGACCCUAAGAUAUGAAAGACACAGUGCCUGUUUCAUAGAGAACAUAAAUUAAAUAUUUGUCAAAUGAAUACAGAAUGGAUUGCUGCCACGGAAAAAUGAUGUGUUACACUUGGAAACAAAGAUGAUUCUCCAGCAUCUGUGUGGCAUAUGUAUUUUCAGUGGGAGGAUGGCUCUUUGCCAGUUCUCCAUUCUCAACUUCUGGUCCACAAGGUUAUAGUUUUGGAGGGCCUGAAUUAAAGAUGCAGUGCCUGAAUACAAAGAGGUAAGUUUAUGUAGGGGCUGAACACAGCCUGGAUUUAUCUUAACCAAAUUCAUCAGUUAAAGUUUGCAAAUGUAUUAGGCCUGGAAUAGUAACAGUAGUGGCUGGGCACUUAGGACUUAGGAGUUCUAGCCCCCACUCUUAUCACUUAAGUGUUGUAUAGACUUAGACAAGUGAGUGAUUUACUUUUCUUAUCUAUAAAAUGAAAGGCUUGAACUAGAUGAACUAGAUGACUUCUGGGGUCAUUCUUAUCUACAGAAUUCUGAUUCUAACUUUGAUGGUAAAAUUUCUCUUCUCUCAGCUUAUAUACUAAAGAUAGAUACAUUAAUGAAGAGUAAUUCAUACACAAAAACAAAGAUCCAUUGACAAAAAAUACAUGAAAUUUAAUUUAAAAUAUAUUAUUUCUAGUCAUAUAUAUAAAUUAUG